rnacentral:SRP_RNA from 1 species
GCCAGGCAUGGUGGUGCAUGCCUGUAGUCCCAGCUACUUGGGAGGCUGAGGCAGGAGGAUUAUUUGAGCCCAGGAUGCAGAGGUUGCAGUGAGCCAAGAUUGCACCAUUGCACUCCAGCUUGGGCAACAGAAUAAGACCCUGUCUCAA